rnacentral:rRNA from 1 species
AGGAUAAACGCUGGCGGCGUGCAUGAGACAUGCAAGUCGAACGGACGAUCAGGGCUUGCUUUGAUCGUUAGUGGCGGACGGCUGAGUAACGCGUAGGUGACCUGUCCCGAAGUGGGGAAUAACUGCCCGAAAGGGUGGCUAAUACCGCAUGUGGUGGUGCGAUCAAUCGCAUCAGUAAAGCCGCAAGGCGCUUCGGGAGGGGCCUGCGUCCGAUUAGCUCGUUGGUGGGGUAACGGCUCACCAAGGCGACGAUCGGUAGGUGGUCUGAGAGGACGAUCACCCAGACUGGGACUGAGACACGGCCCAGACUCCUACGGGAGGCAGCAGUCGGGAAUUUUGCGCAAUGGACGAAAGUCUGACGCAGCAACGCCGCGUGAGGGAUGAAGGCCUUCGGGUUGUAACCUCUUUAUCAGGGAAGAUAAUGACGGUACCUGAUGAAUAAGUCACGGCUAACUACGUGCCAGCAGCCGC